rnacentral:rRNA from 1 species
GACGAACGCUGGCGGCGUGCUUAACACAUGCAAGUCGAACGGAAAGGCCCUGCUUUUGUGGGGUGCUCGAGUGGCGAACGGGUGAGUAACACGUGAGUAACCUGCCCUUGACUUUGGGAUAACUUCAGGAAACUGGGGCUAAUACCGGAUAGGAGCUCCUGCUGCAUGGGGGGGGUUGGAAAGUUUCGGCGGUUGGGGAUGGACUCGCGGCUUAUCAGCUUGUUGGGGGGGUAGUGGCUUACCAAGGCUUUGACGGGUAGCCGGCCUGAGAGGGUGACCGGCCACCUUGGGACUGAGAUACGGACCAGUCUCCUACGGGAGGCAGCAGUGGGGAAUAUUGCACAGUGGGCGGAAGCCUGAUGCAGCAACGCCGCGUGCGGGAUGACGGCCUUCGGGUUGUAAACCGCUUUCGCCUGUGACGAAGCGUGAGUGACGGUAAUGGGUAAAGAAGCACCGGCUAACUACGUG